GCGGUGUAGCUCAGCUGGCUAGAGCGUCUGGUUCAUACCCAGAAGGUCGGGGGUUCGAUUCCCUCCGCCG
rnacentral:tRNA from 1 species